AUUGAACGCUGGCGGCAGGCCUAACACAUGCAAGUCGAGCGAGCGGCGGCCGGGUGAGUAAUUUCUGGGAAACUGCCUGAUGGAGGGGGAUAACUACUGGAACCGGUAGCUAAUACCGCAUACCAUCAGAUGUGCCCAGAUGGGAUUAGCGGGUAGGUGGGGUAACGGCUCACCUAGGCGACGAUCCCUAGCUGGUCUGAGAGGCUGACCAGCAACACUGGAACUGAGACACGGUCCAGACUACUACGGGAGGCAGCAGUGGGGAAUAUUGCACAAGGGGCGCAAGCCUGAUGCAGCCAUGCCGCGUGUGUGAAGAAGGCCUUCGGGUUGUAAAGCACUUUCAGCGGGGAGGCGUGACCCGCAGAAGAAGCACAGGCUAACUCCGUGCCAGCAGCCGCGGUAAUAC
rnacentral:rRNA from 1 species